UACGUAGGGGGCAAGCGUUGUCCGGAAUCAUUGGGCGUAAAGCGCGUGUAGGCGGCUCUUUAAGUCUGCUGUGAAAGUCCAGGGCUCAACCCUGGGAUGCCGGUGGAUACUGUCGAGCUCGAGUCCGGAAGAGGCGAGUGGAAUUCCUGGUGUAGCGGUGAAAUGCGCAGAUAUCAGGAGGAACACCGACUGCGAAGGCAGCUCGCUGGGACGUUACUGACGCUGAGACGCGAAAGCGUGGGGAGCAAACAGG
rnacentral:rRNA from 1 species